CCGGUUUUUCAAGCACAAAGUGCCCAGACAAGCCACAACAGCCCACAGCACGUUCUCUUCACAGCCUCCCACACCUAUGCCUCGCUCCUUUCUCACCCCUGACUAGUUCCAGGAUCCCUGGUCCACAUUUGGAGGGUGCAGACCCAGGGUAGAAUGUUGUAGAAGAGGAAGAAGUAGUGGGAGCAGGAGAACACAGCAUCUGCACUUGUCCAGCCUUCGGAAGGAGCUGCCAGCCUGAAUGGGAGCGGAGAGCGAACUGCAUGCUCACCGAGAUGACAUGGGGAGUUUGAGAGAAGACAUUCAAAUGAGAAUGUCCCAUAUGCGUUUAGUGCUGUGGUUCAAGAGUUGGACAAGACGUCAGGACUACCACGAUUGGAGACUCAUCAGUAGAGAUUUGACAUUCACAGGAUGGAUAACAGCCCCCCCCCCCCCAAAUCAAAGGAGUCCUGGCUAAGUGAGCUGAAGAAAAGGUUAUCUAUCAAGAAGAAAGCAUGAUUCCUCAGCCUUGGCAGCACAUUAGCAUCAUCUGGAGAACUUUAAAAACUGAUUUUUUUUUCCUUCAUUUGAUUUCUUUUCUAAUUGAUUUAACUUUGUAAGGGUGGAAUU
rnacentral:lncRNA from 1 species